GGUGCUAUAGUGUAGUGGUUAUCACUCGGGAUUUUGAUCUCGCAAUGUUCCCGAAACCCAGGUUCGAACCCUGGUAGCACCU
rnacentral:tRNA from 1 species